rnacentral:rRNA from 1 species
GAAACGACUGCUAAGACUGGAUAGGAGACAAGAAGGCAUCUUCUUGUUUUUAAAAGACCUAGCAAUAGGUAUGCUUAGGGAGGAGCUUGCGUCACAUUAGUUAGUUGGUGGGGUAAAGGCCUACCAAGACUAUGAUGUGUAGCCGGGCUGAGAGGUUGAACGGCCACAUUGGGACUGAGACACGGCCCAAACUCCUACGGGAGGCAGCAGUAGGGAAUUUUCGGCAAUGGAGGAAACUCUGACCGAGCAACGCCGCGUGAACGAUGAAGUAUUUCGGUACGUAAAGUUCUUUUAUUAGGGAAGAAUAAAUGAUGGAAAAAUCAUUCUGACGGUACCUAAUGAAUAAGCCCCGGCUAACUAUGUGCCAGCAGCCGCGGUAAUACAUAGGGGGCAAGCGUUAUCCGGAAUUAUUGGGCGUAAAGGGUGCGUAGGCGGUUAAAUAAGUUUAUGGUCUAAGUGCAAUGCUCAACAUUGUGAUGCUAUAAAAACUGUUUAGCUAGAGUAAGAUAGAGGCAAGUGGAAUUCCAUGUGUAGUGGUAAAAUGCGUAAAUAUAUGGAGGAACACCAGUGGCGAAGGCGGCUUGCUGGGUCUUUACUGACGCUGAGGCACGAAAGCGUGGGGAGCAAACAGGAUUAGAUACCCUGGUAGUCCACGCCGUAAACGAUGAGUACUAAACGUUGGGUAAAACCAGUGUUGAAGUUAACACAUUAAGUACUCCGCCUGAGUAGUACGUACGCAAGUAUGAAACUUAAAGGAAUUGACGGGACUCCGCACAAGCGGUGGAUCAUGUUGUUUAAUUCGAAGGUACCCGAAAAACCUCACCAGGUCUUGACAUGCUUCUGCAAAGCUGUAGAAACACAGUGGAGGUUAUCAGUUGCACAGGUGGUGCAUGGUUGUCGUCAGCUCGUGUCGUGAGAUGUUGGGUUAAGUCCCGCAACGAGCGCAACCCUUAUUGUUAGUUACCAGCACGUAAUGGUGGGGACUUUAGCAAGACUGCCAGUGAUAAAUUGGAGGAAGGUGGGGAUGACGUCAAAUCAUCAUGCCCCUUAUGACCUGGGCUACAAACGUGAUACAAUGGCUGUUACAAAGGGUAGCUGAAGCGCAAGUUUUUGGCGAAUCUCAAAAAAACAGUCUCAGUUCGGAUUGAAGUCUGCAACUCGACUUCAUGAAGUUGGAAUCGCUAGUAAUCGCGAAUCAGCAUGUCGCGGUGAAUACGUUCUCGGGGUUUGUACACACCGCCCGUCAAACCACGAAAGUUGGCAAUACCCAAAGCCGGUGGCCUAAC